rnacentral:rRNA from 1 species
GACGAACGCUGGCGGCGUGCUUAACACAUGCAAGUCGAACGGAAAGGCCCUGCUUUUGUUGGGUUCUCGAGUGGCGAACGCGUGAGUAACACGUGAGUAACCUGCCCUUGACUUUGUGAUAUCUUCACGAAACUGGGGCUAAUACCCGAUAGGAGCUCCUGCUGCGUGGGGGGCAUUAGAAAGUGUCGGCGGUUGGGGCUCGACUCGCGGCUUAUCAGCUUCUUGGGCGGGUAGGGGCUUACCAAGGCUGUGACGGGUAGCCGGCAUGAGAGGGUGACCGGCCACAUUGGGACUGCGAUACGGCCCAGACUGCUACGGGAGGCAGCAGGGGGGAAUAUUGCACAAUGGGCGGAAGCCUGAUGCAGCAACGCCGCGUGCGGGAUGACGGCUUUCGGGUGGUAAACAGAUGUCGACUGUGACGAAGCGUGAGUGACGGUAAUGGGUAAAGAAGCACCGGCUAACUACGUG